ensembl:lncRNA
GUACAAGCCAAUGCCACUCUUCCCCCCAACUGACGGCGUUAGGCAACCGCCAGGCCUUAUAUAGCAGCGGAAUGCGCGCGCAGCCUUUUUCUCCCCGCCCAGGCGGCCAUCCGCGGCAGCGCGUUGGGUACUCAUAACGAGACUCUAAGAAUACGGAGUUCUGAUUGGUCCAGUCGCUGCCACUCAAAUAUGGGUUUCUGUUGGCUCCGCCUAUUUGUCUGUUGAUUUUACUGUCAGGCAACCGUGACUCACACGCGCCCGCCCUACUUGCUCAGGGCGCUCCUCAUUGGCUGAAUUGAAUGAUUGAUGUCGGGCGUGAUUGGCUGCAGGCCUCAGGGAUGAGCUAACGUCAUUUGAUUGGACGAAAACGAAGUGUCCUAGUAACCGUCGCAAUGACUCCGCAGCAGGCUCGGGGCGGUGGCCGGUGCGGCCGCGUAUUCCCGAAGCCGUGUGCGCACUUUGCGCAGUGUGGGCGGCAGCUCCGCCUCGCAGCCGGAGCUGCCGGGGAGAGGUUGUGUGGAAACUUCGCUGGACCGCUCCCCCCGGAGUCCUGAGCACCCCCUUCCUCUCCUCCCGCCCCACAUGAAGGGUCUCCUUCACCCACCGCCUCUUCCGGCCCUGGGGUGCCGCAGCAGCGCUGUGGGGGCAGGGAGCUGUUCUGCGCAUGCGCGGGUUGCAGCGCCUUUCUAGCACUUUCUGGCGCGCAGCCGCCUGAGGCAGCGGGGCCGGGCGGCCGUUAUCAUGGCAACGGCGCCUCACGCCGCGCGUCGGUUAGGGCCCGGGCGCAGCCCUGGGAGCGUGUCCGUCGCUCUCUGCCUCACCGCCCUGCCCGCGGUUGCCGUUGCCUUCAGAAAUGCUGGGAAGAGCCCAGGAGCACUUGGAGCGGCCCCAGAGGCACCUGGACAACCCUGGAGAGCCUGGGAAGAGCCUCAGAGCAUCUGGAGGAACCAGAGAGCUGCCCCAGCAGCCCCCAGAGGCCCUGGGAGAGCCCUGUGCAGAGCACAGAGGUGCCCAGACAGGACUAGGAAGAUGCGCAUCCUGCUUGUUCUCCACGUUCUGAGCCUGAAGGUGGGAGGCUUAUGCAGUUCACUGCAAGAUAGCUGAGUAAUGCAAAGGCAUUAGGGUCCAGAUUUAUCCCACAUGAUUAUAGGCAUGACAUUGAAUUAAAUUGCUAACUCUGGGUUGCAUUCACGCUGGAGUCAGUGGAAGGGAUUGGCUCAGCCCACUCCAGCUCUGAAGAGCACUCUAACUACACCGUUCUCUUGAACAUAAAGGUAUAUGAGGUAACGAAAUCCAAAAUGUCUCUAUCUUAUACAAGUAUCAAAGGCAGCUGGGAUCAGUCUGGACCAGACUUGCUCAAGAUUUCAUGCAGCUGUGAUGCAUGAUCAGUAAAGACAGCUUUUCCUCCAGGAUGUCAUGUCAUAUCUUCAGAGUAAGAUAAAAAAUGAAUACUGCCUUCUUUCUGAUUAAAAAGAUAGAAGGGAGUUUAAUCUUGUCUGUGUUUUGCUGCUUGCAGUGUUCUGCUGUCUAGGAAAGUAUAUUCAGCACAAAUUAAAUUAUCAUCAAGGCCUGCUCAGAACAGCAUUAGCAGCUUCUGUGCUCAUAAAGCACAGCAAACUCUGCGUAAAAGCAGACUGGGGGGAGCCACUGCAGGGCUGGGAGGAGGUUUGCUGGUAUACAUGCUGCUGUAUUUCCUGCAGAUAGAGGGCUUUUUUUUUCCAGUCAGAAGGCAGAGGGCUGUGCAUUAGUGGCAAAGGUCUGUUUCCUCCCUUCAUUAGAAAUUAUGAGCCUCUGUGGUUCAGCCCUCUCUGCCUUCAGUGUUUGGGAAGCUGUUCAGCAAUGUGUAGAGCGAGAAAUGGUUGCCGCCCCCAGCAUUCAC